rnacentral:rRNA from 1 species
GAUGAACGCUGGCGGCGUGCCUAAUACAUGCCAGUCGAGCGAACAGACGAGGAGCUUGCUCCUCUGACGUUAGCGGCGGACGGGUGAGUAACACGUGGAUAACCUACCUAUAAGACUGGGAUAACUUCGGGAAACCGGAGCUAAUACCGGCUCAUAUAUUGAACCGCAUGGUUCAAUAGUGAAAGACGGUUUUGCUGUCACUUAUAGAUGGAUCCGCGCCGCAUUAGCUAGUUGGUAAGGUAACGGCUUACCAAGGCAACGAUGCGUAGCCGACCUGAGAGGAUGAUCGGCCACACUGGAACUGAGACACGGUCCAGACUCCUACGGGAGGCAGCAGUAGGGAAUCUUCCGCAAUGGGCGAAAGCCUGACGGAGCAACGCCGCGUGAGUGAUGAAGGUCUUCGGAUCGUAAAACUCUGUUAUUAGGGAAGAACAAAUGUGUAAGUAACUAUGCACGUCUUGACGGUACCUAAUCAGAAAGCCACGGCUAACUACGUG